CCUACGGGAGGCAGCAGUGGGGAAUUUUGCGCAAUGGGCGGAAGCCUGACGCAGCGACGCCGCGUGCGGGACGAAGGCCUUCGGGUCGUAAACCGCUUUCAGCAGGGACGAGGCCCUCACGGUGACGGUACCUGCAGAAGAAGCCCCGGCUAACUACGUGCCAGCAGCCGCGGUAAUACGUAGGGGGCGAGCGUUAUCCGGAUUCAUUGGGCGUAAAGCGCGCGUAGGCGGCCUGUUAGGUCGGGGGUCAAAUACCGGGGCUCAACCCCGGUCCGCCCCCGAUACCGGCAGGCUUGAGUCUGGUAGGGGAAGGCGGAAUUCCUGGUGUAGCGGUGAAAUGCGUAGAUAUCAGGAGGAACACCGGUGGCGAAGGCGGCCUGCUGGACUGCAACUGACGUUGAGGCCCGAAAGCGUGGGGAGCAAACAGGAUUAGAUACCCGGGUAGUC
rnacentral:rRNA from 1 species